CACACAUCUCACAGAACCAUCAGACCCCUCUCUCUCUCUCUCUCUCUCUCUCUCUCUCUCUCUCGGCGACUCAAGAAAACCAUGGCAGAUCUAUCACCAGACCCGUUUCAUGAGCAGAUCUGUGAGGAUUCAAACCGCCUAUCCCCUCCUUGUUACGCUGCCUCAAUCGAGGCUUGUCCUUCAUUCCAGGGCUUUGCUGAUGUAAGCAACCAUUGAGUCAAGAUCAAUCGGUGAUGAGUGUACCAGCAAGAUCAGAUGUCGUUGUGAAAUCCGUCGAAGAUUAGCACUCAGCGACUACAGCUCUAAAUUAGAUCGAAAUAACAUGGGACCACGAAGAUCAAGUGAGUUCCAUCCAGAGGUCCCAAGAGUGAGACGUGACGGUUCUUAUGUAUACGAGUAGUUUAUGCCAACUGGAGGAACAGAUGUUAAGGUGUAUACAGUUGGUGCAGAGUAUGCACACGCUAAGGCAAGAAAAUCUCCUGUUGUUGACAGUGUAGUGAUGCGAAAUCCAGAUGGCAAAGAAGUUGGAUGGAUGCUGGUGCCGCAUUCGCACCUGGAGGGGGAUGAUGGAAUACUGCAGGCCCGUCUACUGAAAGGGACUGAGUUAAGCGGAAGUGGAGUUGGAACAAGAGUAACUGCAUCUCAGUAUGCUUCCGAACACAAUCGCCCUAAAAACAUAGUUCAAAAAAGCUAUGAGGGUGUCGAGUCUAACCUCUUAUAAUCGCACCCGGAGGCUUCUUUGAUGCUGACUGGUUCAAGGAGUUUGUAGCAGAUGGUGACUGUGGGAGAUUACAGGGUUUCAGUGACCCAAAAUCCGACACAAUCAGUGGUAUUCAAGCAAUACAGAAGUAGAACCUAGCUCUGGCGAGGGAAACAGAUGCAAUAUUUGUUCAGAUCAUAGACAACUUCACCUCAGGUAUGAUUCCAAUAACCCAAAGGGUUUCGAUCAGAAUUUAAAUUCAUGUGGAUUGCUGAUUGCUGAUUGCAAGCUACGUUAUGUUUGCAAAUUGCAAGCUACGGAACAGCAUGCCCAGCUUUGAGAUGGUAUGGUUAAUUUCUCUUCUGUUGUUUAUCUUUAAUUUGAUUCAUAACCUGGUAAGAUUUAAUGUUGGUUUUCUAAACUACAUUUUGGUAAGUUUGUACUUAAACAAAUACAUUUUUUUUUUUUUUUGUUGGCAGAACUUGAAAAGAAUGAGUUAAGACAAUGACAAAACAAAGCUCACGGGAAGUAGCGAAAGCAAAUGGAUCUACAAUUGUUCUUUCUGCGCCAGCAUCAGGAGUCUCAAACUCAACAUGGCAAACGCAAAUGCAAAUGCAAACAAAUGAGGAGAAGCCAGGGUGUGACUCUCCCAAUUCCAGUUUCUUAGAAUACAGCCGCAGGAGCAGCAGCAUCAUCAGGAUUCUACACUAAUAAUCAUAUUGGUUAAAACCAAAACUCACUGCCAUUUGUCAUUUUCUACUUUUGUUUUGUUUGUUUAAACUACAAUACAAAAUAAACUGGAUAUUGUUCUUUGGAACUUGCUUUCUAAGUUGUAUGAAAAAGUAUACCAUUUAGUAGUUGUCAUGUAA